GUCUACGCGAAGAACCUUAUCCUGGAUUUGACAUGGUCGGAUUAGCCGGCGGAAACGUCGGUGACGCCUUCGGGUGGAACGAUCACAGGUGAUGCAUGGCUGUCG
rnacentral:rRNA from 1 species